rnacentral:lncRNA from 1 species
GGGAGAAGCAUGGUUUCCUGAGGUCGCACCAUCACUCACUUCUUCCCUUGGCUGGGAGUGGGGGUUCCUUUGGCUCUGUGUCGCUCCCAGGGGGGCUGUCGCCCCAUCCAGCUUUUCUUUGUUCUCUGUGGGUCGAGUUGUUUUCCUGAUGAGUCCCAAUGCAAGUACCUGGAUAUUUCAGUUGAAGAUGCUGUAUUCACUUGCCUCUUUUGUUCCUCUCUGUGAGUGCUGUGGACCAUAGCUGUUUCUAAUCAGCCAUCUUGGCCUGGCAAUCUACAGAUUUUAUAACCUGACAGCGUGCUGGAACUUCUCUGCUGGACUCCUGGACUCCCACAAUGGUUGUGGGGCUAGACAAGAAGGAAAAAAAUCACUGUCCUCAUGGAAGUUAAAUUGUACUGACAAAGGAGGAAAAUGUCAGGGAGUUAACAAUUCAGUCUCUGUGGCUUCCUCCUGUCCUCUCCCUGAAACUGAGAUCCAGCCAAUCUGCACAUUUAUUCUGAGAGUGGCCCCACUUUAAUGACUACACCCAGCUGUCUACACACCAGGAGGGGAGGGAACUGUAUCCUGAGGCACCAACCCGAUUACCCACCCAACAGCCACAGGGACUUCCAGUGACUGGGGCAUCAUCCUCAAUGCCACCAACCCCUCUCCUUCCUGUGGCUUUUCUAACUGGAACUGGAACUCAGAAAGUACAUUAAUCACCAAUUUGGGAAGCUAUAGGAAAGUAUGUUUUCUAAUAUACAGUGAGAGAAUGUGACUGAUAAAACCAAUUUUCUUGAGACUUUCUCCCUGGAAAGUGAAUAUAUGUAUUCAUAGGGCCUUCACAAGCACAGACUAACAAGCAAAGAGCUACAUUCACUGGGAAGGAAGACUCAAAAGUAAGUGAAAAAUAAUAGUUA